GACGAACGCUGGCGGCGUGCUUAACACAUGCAAGUCGAACGGAAAGGCCCUGCUUUUGUGGGGUGCUCGAGUGGCGAGCGGGUGAGUAACACGUGAGUAACCUGCCCUUGACUUUGGGAUAACUUCAGGAAACUGGGGCUCAUACCGGAUAGGAGCUCCUGCUGCAUGGUGGGGGUUGGAAAGUUUCGGCGGUUGGGGAUGGACUCGCGGCUUAUCAGCUUGUUGGUGGGGUAGUGGCUUACCAAGGCUUUGACGGGUAGCCGGCCUGAGAGGGUGACCGGCCACAUUGGGACUGAGAUACGGCCCAGACUCCUACGGGACGCAACAGUGGGGAAUAUUGCACAAUGGGCGGAAGCCUGAUGCAGCAACGCCGCGUGCGGGAUGACGGCCUUCGGGUUGUAAACCGCUGUCGCCUGUGACGAAGCGUGAGUGACGGUAAUGGGUAAAGAAGCACCGGCUAACUACGUG
rnacentral:rRNA from 1 species